CAAGUCAAAAUGGCCAAGGGCGGGCCCAGGGCUCACAGCCAGUUUGGGCAGAACCAGACUGGAAUUUCUCUGACUUUAAGCACACUGCAGGGGCUCCUAGGCUGAAGUUACCCUGCAGCCUCUUCUCUCUGUCUCUGGAUCCUGACUACUCUCAGAAUUCAACAGUGUCAAGACUCUACCAAAGUAAGUUCAAAGGGCUACUGACUGUGUGCCAAAGGUGGGAGAGGGACAUAAGCCUAGCCUUAUUCCUCCUGGACUGGCCUGGAAGCCCUUAGGUGAGUCUAAGGCCUCUGUGUCCUGGGCCCCAGGGUUGGAUAGGUUCUGGUAACUACAGUUUUGAUGACAUUGUAUCCAUUCAUUGACUCAUUCAGCAAGCUCUUGGCCACUUACUGGCUACGUGACCUUUGGUAAGUAAUUUAACCUUCCGGCCUCAGCUUCCUCAUCUGUAACGUGAGACCAAUAAUAACUGCGACAGAGCGUUGUUGGAAGACAUGGUGAGAUACUGUGUGCCCAGGGUAUAGGACAGAGCUCAGUGAUGGGAACUGUUAUUAUCAAGGGCAAUCUUUGCCUUCUAGAAGCUUGAGGUUUCCUAGACAAUGGGGAGUCAUGUAGCUGGGAGACCCCAUAAGUGUAGAGGCAGGAGCCAGAAGCCUCAGCCUAUUUCCAUAUAAAUAAUGAAGAAGAAAGUAACUAGAAAUAUAAUCAUAGUAGUUACUAGUUAUUCAUAUGUGACCUUAGUUAUUCAUAGGUGAUCCUAAUUCUUUUACUAAUGCCUCUCAGGUCGGAAGUGUGAACCUGGGGCGACAUUGUGAAAUGAAUGACCCUAAGGCAAGAUGCUUUAAGCUGUCUGUCAUGCCCCUGUAAGGGCUGCUGGAGGGUGCUUCAGCUGUGCAGCAGUGCUAGUGCUGGGAAAGCGCCUGUUAUUUAGCCAGUGAGGUAAGGAGACACCCAAGAUGGCUGAGACUUCUCCUUCCUUGGGGGAGUUAGGAGAAAACUUUGCUUCUCUAAGCUCUUGUGGUAGGCCUGAUGCUGUCAGGUAGGCCUGCAGAUAUCUGGGGGCUUGUCUCUAUGUGAUGUUGUGCUUCAGUGGUCACGUUCCACAUCCCCUCUCAUGUUCCGCUUCUGCACCUGGUUCCUUUUUUCUUAGAAGAGAUAAUCAGUAAAAGUAACGUAAAUCUUAAUGUC
rnacentral:lncRNA from 13 species